GGGGAGUACGCCGGCAACGGUGAAACUCAAAGGAAUUGACGGGGGCCCGCACAAGCGGAGGAACAUGUGGUUUAAUUCGAUGAUACGCGAGGAACCUUACCCGGGCUCAAACGACGGAUGGAUGUUUUUGAAAGAAGGCAGCCCUUCGGGGCAUCUGUCGAGGUGCUGCAUGGUUGUCGUCAGCUCGUGCCGUGAGGUGUCGGCUUAAGUGCCAUAACGAGCGCAACCCCCAUCGCCAGUUACCAGCAAGUAAAGUUGGGGACUCUGGCGAGACUGCCGGCGCAAGCUGUGAGGAAGGCGGGGAUGACGUCAAAUCAGCACGGCCCUUACGUCCGGGGCGACACACGUGUUACAAUGGCAGGUACAGAGAGAAGCGAUGCGGCGACGCAGAGCGGAACUUCAAAGCUUGUCUCAGUUCGGAUUGGAGUCUGCAACCCGACUCCAUGAAGCUGGAUUCGCUAGUAAUCGCGCAUCAGCCACGGCGCGGUGAAUACGUUCCCGGGCUUUGUACACACCGCCCGUCAAGCCAUGGAAGCCGGGAGUGCUUGAAGUGUGCAACCGCAAGGAGCGCCUUAAGGUAAAACCGGUGACUGGGGCUAAGUCGUAACAAGGUAACUGUAAGGGCGAAUUCGCGGCGAAUAAAUUCAAUUCGCCUUAUAGGAGUC
rnacentral:rRNA from 1 species